GCAUGGGUUUGGAUUUAUGGCAGGUUUCCGAUCCCAUGGGCCUUCCACAGUGUCCCAUGCCAAAGCAUACUGUAACCGUGAACCAUUGCCUGGCUUUAUCCCAUGAGCUUAAGGCACUGAAGCGGGUUGCACGGUG